rnacentral:rRNA from 1 species
AGUGGCGAACGGGUGAGUAACACGUGGGUAAUCUGCCCUGUACUUUGGGAUAAGCCUUGGAAACGGGGUCUAAUACCGGAUAUGACUGCUCCUCGCAUGGGGGGUGGUGGAAAGCUCCGGCGGUACGGGAUGAGCCCGCGGCCUAUCAGCUUGUUGGUGGGGUGAUGGCCUACCAAGGCGACGACGGGUAGCCGGCCUGAGAGGGUGACCGGCCACACUGGGACUGAGACACGGCCCAG